rnacentral:rRNA from 1 species
GACGAACGCUGGCGGCGUGCUUAACACAUGCAAGUCGAACGGAAAGGCCCCUUUGGGGGUACUCGAGUGGCGAACGGGUGAGUAACACGUGAGUAACCUGCCCUUGACUUCGGGAUAACUUCAGGAAACUGGGGCUAAUACCGGAUAGGAAUCCUUGCUGCAUGGUGGGGGUUGGAAAGCUUCGGCGGUUUUGGAUGGACUCGCGGCUUAUCAGCUUGUUGGUGGGGUAGUGGCUUACCAAGGCUUUGACGGGUAGCCGGCCUGAGAGGGCGACCGGCCACAUUGGGACUGAGAUACGGCCCAGACACCUACGGGAGGCAGCAGGGGGGAAUAUUGCACAAUGGGCGGAAGCCUGAUGCAGCAACGCCGCGGGCGGGAUGACGGCCUUCGGGUUGUAAAACGCUUUCAGCAGGGGCGAAGCUUGUGGUGACGGUACCUGCAGAAGAAGCACCGGCUAACUACGUG